rnacentral:tRNA from 1 species
GCCUGGCUGGCUCAAUUGGAGGGGUGUGUGACUCUUAAUCUCAGGGUCAUGAGUUCGAGCCCCGUGUUGGGUA